ACUAAAGCUUACUGGAAAUCAUUUAAAAGGGUCGCGACCUAUCUUGACUUUUUCUGCUAAUUUUGAUAAAGAUGCCCACUGGAAACUCUUGAAGGAAAUGUUAAUGCAGAUAUUUGGCACGCCAAAGGAGCACCGGAAAUCUAAGCCUUAUCAUGACCAUGUCUUUGUUUUCUCUAUUGUUGAUGAUCAUAUCUGGUUCCGUAAUUACCAGAUAUCUGUUCCUCAUAAUGAAUCAGAUAAAGUGGCUCCAGGAGG
rnacentral:misc_RNA from 1 species